GAGUGAGGUUAUGUAAUGGAAAGCAAGAUAUUCUCACACAUAAUUCAGUUACAAACAAAAGAACUUUUUGGACAGUACUCAUGAAAGGAAUCAAAUACUAAGAAUAGGAUAGCACAUAUACUUACUAACAAGAAUGAGUACUCAGAAGAUCAAAAGCUUAUUGGGUGUCAAAAGUGUUGGAAAUGUGCCCUAAAACCAAUCAGAUGAUGAUACUUUACGGACAUUUCACAUGUUAAACUAAUAUAGUUUAAUAUAAAGGGCAAAUAUUAUUGUUUAAAGCCGUCUCAUAUAAAUGUUAUAUGCUUAAACGAUAAGUCCAAGGAAUAUGUAAUUGGGAGAAUGCCAUUAAAAGAAGUUAGAUUCAUGAGACCAUUCUCUUUCGUAUACAUAUCCUAAACGUUCCUGAUCAUAGGAUUGCCAAUUGGGCAUUGACAGUCCGUUAAGAUCAGUAUGUGCUAUGUCUUCUCUUAGGGAGAGUGACUGGUCUCGAGUCAUUGGUGUGAUUGACACCAAGACAAGCAUGUAGGUGCUCAAUAGAGAAUG
rnacentral:lncRNA from 1 species